rnacentral:rRNA from 1 species
CCUACGGGUGGCAGCAGUAGGGAAUAUUGCUCAAUGGGCGAAACCCUGAAGCAGCAACGCCGCGUGGAGGAUGAAGGUUUUAGGGAUGUAAACUCCUUUUGUGAGAGAAGAACAUGACGGCACGUAAAGAAUAAGCACCGGAUAACUCCGUGCCAGCAGCCGCGGUGACACGGAGGGUGCAAGCGUUACUCGGAAUCACUGGCGGGAAAGGGGGCGUAAGUGGGGUUGUAAGGCCGGGGGGAAAUCCUGUGGCCUAAAUCCCGGCCUGCUUUUGAAACUGUGACUCUGGAGUGUGGGAGAGGUAGGCGGAAUUCUUGGUGUAGCGGUGAAAUGCGUAGAUAUCAAGAAGAAUACCGAUUGCGAAGGCAGCAUACUGGAGCCUUACUGACGCUGAUGCACGAAAGCGUGGGGAGCAAACAGGAUUAGAUACCCGAGUAGUC